rnacentral:rRNA from 1 species
CAGUCGCCGCGGUAAUACAGAGGGUGUAAGCGUUAAUCGGAUUUACUGGGCGUAAAGGGCGCGUAGGUGGUUAUGUAAGUGAGAUGUGAAAUCCCCGGGCUCAACCUGGGAACUGCAUCUUAUACUGCGUAGCUGGAGUGCAGUAGAGGGUAGUGGAAUUUCCGGUGUAGCGGUGAAAUGCGUAGAUAUCGGAAGGAACACCAGUGGCGAAGGCGGCUGCCUGGACUGACACUGACACUGAGGCGCGAAAGCGUGGGGAGCAAACAGGAUUAGAUACCCCGGUAGUCCCUGUCUCUUAUAC